GACGAACGCUGGCGGCGUGCUUAACACAUGCAAGUCGAACGGAAAGGCCUCUUUCGGGGGGUACUCGAGUGGCGAACGGGUGAGUAACACGUGAGUAACCUGCCCUUGACUUUGGGAUAACUUCAGGAAACUGGGGCUAAUACCGGAUAGGAGCUCCUGCUGCAUGGUGGGGGUUGGAAAGUUUCGGCGGUUGGGGAUGGACUCGCGGCUUAUCAGCUUGUUGGUGGGGUAGUGGCUUACCAAGGCUUUGACGGGUAGCCGGCCUGAGAGGGUGACCGGCAUCAUUGGGACGGAGACAGGGCCCGGACUCCUGGGGGGGGCGGCGGGGGGGAUGAUGGAACAUGGGGUGAAGGCUGGAUGCAGAUCGCCCGGGUGCGGGUGGACGGCCUGGGGGUUGUAACUCGCUUUCCCUCAUGACGAGGCUUUGUGGGGGGGAGGGGGAAAAAAAGACCCGGACAACCACGGGC
rnacentral:rRNA from 1 species